rnacentral:lncRNA from 1 species
UGAAGUUGAAAAAUUUCUUACUUCAAACUCUAUUUUAAAAUAGAAAACUGAGUGAAAUUUGAGAUACUCUAAUGUCAAUUUACCUAUCUAUGUGGUAUAGUUGCUACCUUGUUUUUGCCAAGGUGCCAAGCUCAUGAGAAAUCUCUUGCUUUGUAAAACUCUUAAUCAUAUAAUGAUAUUUACAGUUAAGCAGAAACAUUUUUGAUGUUUUUUAAAUAUAAAAAAUAUCCGUAGUAAUAGAUAACUUCUUCAAAAUGGCUUAGAACACGUUACUUGAGUCUUUUCUCUACCGUCAAGAUAUGAACUCAUGAUUUCAACAGAAAAAGAAAUCGUAUGGACUCUCUCCUGAAACACCAAUUAUAUAAGAGGUUGGGUUACGU